rnacentral:rRNA from 1 species
AGAGUUUGAUCAUGGCUCAGAACGUACGCUGGCGGCACGCCUAACACAUGCAAGUCGAACGAAGUAGCAAUACUUAGUGGCAGACGGGUGAGUAACAUGUAGGUAUCUGCCCUUUGGCCUGGAAUAACACGAGGAAACUUGUGCUAAUACCGGAUAAGUCUUUACGGAGAAAGCUUUAUGCACCAUUGGAUGAGCCUGCACUUGAUUAGUUUGUUGGUGGGGUAAUGGCCUACCAAGACUGUGAUCAAUAGCUGAUUUGAGAGGAUGAUCAGCCACAUUGGGACUGAGACACGGCCCAAACUCCUACGGGAGGCAGCAGUGGGGAAUCUUGCACAAUGGAGGAAACUCUGAUGCAGCGAUGCCGCGUGAGUGAAGAAGGCCCUUGGGUUGUAAAGCUCUUUCGUCGGGGAAGAAAAUGACUGUACCCGAAUAAGAAGGUCCGGCUAACUUCGUGCCAGCAGCCGCGGUAAUACGAAGGGACCUAGCGUAGUUCGGAAUUACUGGGCUUAAAGAGUUCGUAGGUGGUUGAAAAAGUUAGUGGUGAAAUCCCAGAGCUUAACUCUGGAACUGCCAUUAAAACUUUUCAGCUAGAGUAUGAUAGAGGAAAGCAGAAUUUCUAGUGUAGAGGUGAAAUUCGUAGAUAUUAGAAAGAAUACCAAUUGCGAAGGCAGCUUUCUGGAUCAUUACUGACACUGAGGAACGAAAGCAUGGGUAGCGAAGAGGAUUAGAUACCCUCGUAGUCCAUGCCGUAAACGAUGUGUGUUAGACGUUGGAAAUUUAUUUUCAGUGUCGCAGGGAAACCGAUAAACACACCGCCUGGGGAGUACGACCGCAAGGUUAAAACUCAAAUGAAUUGACGGGGACCCGCACAAGUAGUGGAGCAUGUGGUUUAAUUCGAAGAUACGCGCAGAACCUUACCAACACUUGACAUGUUCGUCGCGACUCUAAGAGAUUAGAGUUUUCGGUUCGGCCGGACGAAACACAGGUGCUGCAUGGCUGUCGUCAGCUCGUGUCGUGAGAUGUUGGGUUAAGUCCCGCAACGAGCGCAACCCUCACUUUUAGUUGCCAUCAUUAAGUUGGGCACUCUGAAAGAACUGCCAGUGAUAAGCUGGAGGAAGGUGGGGAUGACGUCAAGUCCUCAUGGCCCUUACGUGUUGGGCUACACACGUGCUACAAUGG